GCAUAUCAAUAAGCGGAGGAAAAGAAACUAACAAGGAUUCCCCUAGUAACUGCGAGUGAAGCGGGAAAAGCUCAAAUUUAAAAUCUGGCGGUCUUCGGCCGUCCGAGUUGUAAUCUGGAGAAGCGUUUUCCGCGCUGGACCGUGUACAAGUCUCUUGGAACAGAGCGUCAUAGAGGGUGAGAAUCCCGUCUUUGACACGGACUACCAGUGCUAUGUGAUGCGCUCUCGAUGAGUCGAGUUGUUUGGGAAUGCAGCUCAAAAUGGGUGGUAAAUUCCAUCUAAAGCUAAAUAUUGGCGAGAGACCGAUAGCGAACAAGUACCGUGAGGGAAAGAUGAAAAGCACUUUGGAAAGAGAGUUAAACAGUACGUGAAAUUGCUGAAAGGGAAACGAUUGAAGUCAGUCGCGUGUGCUAGAACUCAGCCUUGCUUUUGCUUGGUGCAUUUUCUAGUGUACGGGCCAGCAUCAGUUUUGGCCGCCGGAAAAAGGCCUUGGGAAUGUGGCACCUUCGGGUGUGUUAUAGCCCUUGGUUGUAUACGGUGGCUGGGACUGAGGAACAUAGCAUGCCUUUAUGGCGGGGCUUCGGCCACCUUCAUGCUUUGGAUGCUGGCGUAAUGGCUUUAAACGACCCGUCUUGAAACACGGACC
rnacentral:rRNA from 1 species